GCAAGUCGAACGAACUUAGGCCUAGCUUGCUAGGAACGGUUAGUGGCAAACGGGUGAGUAACGCGUGGGAACCUACCUUGUAGUAUGGAACAGUCCUGGGAAACUGGGUUUAAUACCAUAUACGCUCUACGGAGGAAAGAUUUAUCGCUAUAAGAUGGGCCCGCGUUAGAUUAGCUAGUUGGUGAGGUAAAUGCUCACCAAGGCGACGAUCUAUAGCUGGUUUGAGAGGAUGAUC
rnacentral:rRNA from 1 species